rnacentral:lncRNA from 1 species
UUGGGGAAAUCAUUGUUUGAGGGUGGCACAGACAAGCAGUCGGCUUGGGGUUUGCUCCCUGUGCACAGCUCGAUCAUCAAGGAAAGGCCUCUUCCGGGCCUCAAAGCUCCCUUUGUGAGGAAUGAGGCCCACUGUCGAGGCUCACACAGGCAGCUGUAACCAGGCUGCCCCUCUCUCUGGGUGUUUGUUUUGAUAGAGGUUCAUUUAUGCCAGAGACAAUGCCCGCUCUCUUUGUUCUGCCCCCAGCAGGAAGCAGUGCAGGGAGGGGGACCAGCAUUGUCACACAGCUUCCAAUUCAGGUUUUGGUGGCCACAACAAUGGGGCCUCAAGGGCCACAAAUAAAGAGCCGCUCACGGGGAGCAGGGCAGAGAGACUGGCACAUGUGGACCCCAGCACACCCCAGGUAGAAGUCACCUCCUAACAAGUGCUCAGGCUCACUAUCAAGGGCUUUGAGGGCUCUGAGGUUGGGGAGAGGGAGGCCACCUCCUCUUCUCUUAAGUGGUGCUGGGAGGGAGAAGUAAGCAAGGUCCCCGGGGAUGACAAAGCCUUCCUACCUCUCCUACCAUUUAUCCCAACUAAAGGAGCAAACACUCAAAAAAGCAAGCAAAAAGAAUGCACACACAUGCUUCGUGUUCUAACUUACCAACAGUUGCACAAGGAAGAAAAAAAGUCUAAUCUGAAUUGCCAAAAAUGAACAAUAUCCUUUAAAAUGAAGCCUGGGCUAGAUGGCUGCAAGUGAAUGAAAUGUAUUACCCAACUGCUGCUGUAACACAAGCCCUCUCCUCCCCCUUCUGGGCCUCAUUCAUAAAAAGCCUGCUUCGCCCCAGCAGCUGCAGGAACUGGGACUGGAUUUGUGUUUUGUGCCGGUGUUUUCCAAGACAGAGGGAAACAAUUGAAACAGACAAUCGCUCAGAUACCAACACCAAGUUCGCCUCCCCUUGAGAAGUUUGCUGCAGUCUCCUGGUCUAAUCCAAAUAGGUGGAGGGAGGGCUGGUUUGUGCAACUCAACAAGCUCUGUAAAACACCAAGUCCCUAGAAAUCUCAGAAAUCACCAUGAGAAACGAGAGGCUACCAAACUUUUUAGACUCAGCAGCCUUCUUCAAAGCAGGGCCCAAAUACAAGAGCAUGUUCUAAUUUACCAGGAAUGGUUUUAAUACAAGAAUUACAUAAGAACAGAGUGCAGGAAAGGAAGGGAGAAAUAAAACCAUUCUUGUUGCCCUAAUACCAGAGCAGUCUUCCGGUGAAUUGAUACAUAAAUUCUCUCCAGAGACAAGAUAAUCCAAGCUAUUAACUGUUCCCCUCUCAACUCUUGCAAAACACAAGGCUUCGAAACCUUGAAGGGGGGCAGGUGGAGGGGAAAGCCUGCUAUAUAUUUCUAGAAAAUACCAAAUUUAACACCACGAUCCCAGCCUGCUCAUCACUGCUGGGGAUCAGCCAUUCUGGGAAGGUAACAGCAGCCCUCAGCAC